rnacentral:rRNA from 1 species
UACGUAGGGUGCAAGCGUUAUCCGGAUUCACUGGGUUUAAAGGGUGCGUAGGUGGGUCUGUAAGUCCGUGUGAAAUCUCCGAGCUUAACUUGGAAACUGCCAUGGAUACUAUAGGUCUUGAAUACUGUGGAGGUCAGCGGAAUAUGUCAUGUAGCGGUGAAAUGCUUAGAUAUGACAUAGAACACCAAUUGCGAAGGCAGCUGGCUACACAAAUAUUGACACUGAUGCACGAAAGCGUGGGGAUCAAACAGG